UGACUUUAUAUAUCUGUAAUAUAUAUAGAAAUAUCGGAGUCUGGAUACAACUUAUUUCAAUAUGGUGUUAGAGGCAAAUAAAAAAUGUACAACAAAAGAAAGAAUCAUGUGCGUAAGAAGAGGAAGAAGGUAUGGGAAUGUGGGAUUUAGGUGAGAUCCAGCCAAACAUGACAACCUCCUUUCCUGGAAAUUCAAAAGAAGCUGUCACUUUCCAUUUUAUAAUAAUAAGAUUAUUAUAUAUAAAGUGUAUACCUAUUUACAUCUUCUAGAUGGGGUAGAUUAUAAGCGGAUCUUUCAAAAAUAUAAUAUACAAUAUUCGUAUUCGGAAGCAACUGAGGUUGAGUUUUUAACUAAAUAUUUUUACAAAUCUAACAUUAUUUACCAGACUCGAAGAAUAAGUAGGUACAUUCAAAUAGGUAUGUGGUUGAAUCGUAUUUUUGAAUCCCUUAUUUUAAUUCAAAGGACGAAAUGAUUCGAUAUCUAAGAGAAGUAAAUUUGAUGAAGUUUAUUAAUGACACAAAUCUGUAAAGAAAAUUCGAUGAAGUAAAUGGGAAUCCCUUCUUUGUUUUCUCAAAAAAAAAAAAAUCUGUAAAAGAAGUUGAAUCUGAAAAUAUUGCGAAAAAAUCUAUCUUUUUGUAUUGGUUAAGGAAACAUAAUUUCUAGAAGUAAAGGAUAAAUAUGUACGUUUUCUAGAGAAUUAAUUUUUUCUGUGACUGUGAUUGUUAACAGUCAAAAUGGUACAUAUUUAUUAUUGUGUGCUAAAUUCCAUAAGUAUGUACGUCGAUACAGACAAAUCACAAAUUCGAUAAAGUAUGUACGUCCUUACAGACAAAUCACACCACAAAUGGUGGAUAGAAGAUGGAGCGUUAUGUACGUAGCUGCCUGCACAUGUGGGCAGACUUAAGCUUUGGUUCUUGGUUAAGUUUUGGUUUGGAAUUUUUUUGCUUUUCAGCUCGGCCUUGUUUUGGUUAUUUUAGUUUUCGAUUCAAGUAACAAGGUUGGAAAACAACUAAUAUCUGAAAUCUUUUUGGUCCAAUUAAGAUCUAGUUCAAUUUCUGUUUUUUUUUUGUAUAAUUUGGGUUAAAAAUUCGGUAAUUCAAAGGGUGAAUUAAAUAACGAGUAAUUCAAAUGUUUGGGUAAAAAAUAUUGGAUAAUUUUAAUUAUUUUCAUAAAAAUAUUCAGAUAAUUUGAUAAUACCAGGUUUCUGAUAGCAUUUAAGAACAGUAUAAUUUUGUGCUUGAGCUUUUUGAUGCAUAAACCAUAAUGAUAAAGAGAUAACUCUAUAGCCUUAUUAUAAUGCAAAAGAAAAAUGAAAAGAGAAAGCUUUAAGUUUCAUAAAAAAUAUGGUUUAUUUCAAAUGGUGAUAUCAAUGGCUGAUUAAUCACACGAAAAACCUAUGAACCAUAAAUCAAUAGAACACAUUAAUGAAUCACUCAACGAAUUCUUAAAACAGAUAUUUCAGCAAAGACUUUUGAUGAUAAAAUAAAAUAAACUGAUUAUAUUUUUGGAUUGAUGAAAGGUAAUAUCACAGUGGACUAAUAUGAUCUUAUAUAGGUGGUUGCUCAUUGUUCAGAAAUAAGAAAAAUAAAUAAACAAUUCAAGAAAUCUAAGAACUGGCCAUUGGAGCGUGAGCCGUGCACACCGUGUAUUCAAAAAGGCUUUUGCCUCAUGCCCCUAAUAAACCGAUGGCGCUUGGUUAGCAUAGUAAUCUGAAUGGUGUAGUUGGUACCUUUGCUUUUGUCGUGUGGCUCUCCAUGAAGGGUCUGGUGGUUUGGGCUCAACAUAUUCAGCUCCUUGGUGCAUCUCCCAACCUUUGUUCUCCCUUUUGUGGUCGUUGGCCUUGUUUCUAACCAGAUUGUUUCUUUUGUUCCAAUCGGGCCAUGCGAUCACUCGUCGCAUGCAUAGCUACACAAAUCUGGUUCAGUGCAGCCAGUUGGGUCUGGUCAUGUGCUUGCUCUUCCAUUUCUUUCUUAAAUGAUCCUCAAAGAUCAAGUGAAACAGUGGAAGUCCUGGUAUAGAAAAUAAAGCAAAAUGAAAUAAUGCAACUUAGACUAAAUCUGAUAAAUAUGCAAAUAAUAGACCAAAACGAUAUAAACUAAGUUGAAUGAAUUCUCUUUUCCCUUUUGAACGCAGGCUUGUG
rnacentral:lncRNA from 1 species